GGAGGAUGUAAAAGAUCCAGCAAAACUUUUCAAAGAGCAGCAGGUUUAAGGUCUGUGCCCUAUUUACACAAUGGGUAAUAUUCCAGAAGGCUUCAAGAGGAAAGGCUUUGUGACUACUACAGCAUGCCCCAGAGCUUCAGCUUUGACUUCAACAUAUGCCAGGGGUGGAGAGGUUUCCCCAGAGGAUGUGUGCCAAUUUGAGAAAGAACUGUCUUCUCACAUCCAGGUGGGCCAAAUGAAGAGUAGCUUUGAUGCAAUCAAUGAAGAUCUGGGUUAGAAGAAUUAUCAUGAUUCAGAACUGAUGUGG